GGGCGAUUAGCUCAGCGGUAGAGCGUCUCGUUUACACCGAGAGGGUCGGCGGUUCGAAUCCGUCAUCGCCCACCA
rnacentral:tRNA from 2 species